GCAGUUGACUUUUAAUCAAUUGGUCGCAGGUUCGAAUCCUGCACGACCCA
rnacentral:tRNA from 1 species